GACGAACGCUGGCGGCGUGCCUAAUACAUGCAAGUAGAACGCUGAAGGAAGGAGCUUGCUCUUUCUGGAUGAGUUGCGAACGGGUGAGUAACGCGUAGGUAACCUGCCUGGUAGCGAGGGAUAACUAUUGGAAACGAUAGCUAAUACCGCAUAAAAUUGAUUAUUGCAUGAUAGUCAAUUAAAAGGUGCAACUGCACCACUUCCAGAUGGACCUGCGUUGUAUUAGCUAGUUGGUGGGGUAACGGCUCACCAAGGCGACGAUACAUAGCCGACCUGAGAGGGUGAUCGGCCACACUGGGACUGAGACACGGCCCAGACUCCUACGGGAGGCAGCAGUAGGGAAUCUUCGGCAAUGGACGGAAGUCUGACCGAGCAACGCCGCGUGAGUGAAGAAGGUUUUCGGAUCGUAAAGCUCUGUUGUAAGAGAAGAACGAGUGUGAGAGUGGAAAGUUCACACUGUGACGGUAUCUUACCAGAAAGGGACGGCUAACUACGUA
rnacentral:rRNA from 1 species